UACAGAGGGGGCAAGCGUUGUUCGGAAUUACUGGGCGUAAAGGGCGCGUAGGCGGCCUUCUAAGUCAGACGUGAAAUCCCUCGGCUCAACCGGGGAACUGCGUCUGAGACUGGAAGGCUUGAAUCCGGGAGAGGGAUGUGGAAUUCCCAGUGUAGCGGUGAAAUGCGUAGAUAUUGGGAAGAACACCGGUGGCGUAGGCGACUAGCUGGGCUGUAACUGACGCUGAGGAACGAAAGCCAGGGGAGCGAAUGGG
rnacentral:rRNA from 1 species